UUGGGUUGGCCAAAGAGUUCAUUUGGGUUUUACCGUACGGAAAAACCCGAAUGAACUUUUUGGCUAAUCUG
rnacentral:miRNA from 1 species